rnacentral:rRNA from 1 species
GAUGAACGCUGGCGGCGUGCCUAAUACAUGCAAGUCGAGCGAACAGACGAGGAGCUUGCCCCUCUGACGUUAUCGGCCGACGGGAGAGUAACACGUGGUUAACCUACCUCUAAGACUGGGAUAACUUCGGGAAACCAGAGCUAAUACCGGAUAAUAUAUUGCACCUCAUGGUUCAAUAGUGAAAUACGGUUUUUCUUACACUUAUAGACGGAUCCGGCCCGCAUUAGCUAGUUGUUAAGGUAACGGCUUACCAAGACAACGAUGCAUACCCGACCUGAGAGGACGAUCGGCCACUCGGGAGAUGAGAUGAGGUGCCAAAUCGUACGUGAGGCAGCGGUAGGAAAUCUUCGGCAAUGAGCGGUAGGGUAACGGAGCAACGCGGCGUGAGUGAUGAAGGUCUUCGGAUCGUAAAACACUGUUAUUUGAGAAGAACAAAUGUGUAUGUAACGAUGCGAGACUUGCCGGUACCUGAUCAGAAAGCCACGGCUAACUACGU